GGAGAGGUGGCCGAGUGGUUUAAGGCGCACGCCUGGAACGCGUGUGUGGGGCGACCCACCGCGGGUUCGAAUCCCGCCCUCUCCG
rnacentral:tRNA from 1 species